rnacentral:rRNA from 1 species
UGGUGGAGUGAUUUGUCUGGUUAAUUCCGAUAACGAACGAGACCCCGUCCUACUUACUAGACCGAGGAUCCUCUCGUUCUCGCUGUCUUCUUAGAGGGACAACUGCUUAUACCUUGUACUACAUGAAAUGGGGCAAUAACA